UUAACUUAAUUUGUGUAUACAGUUGGAACAGCGCCCCUAGCGGCAAACGUAGGCAAACGUUCCAAUUCCAUACAAAUUUGAGUUA
rnacentral:pre_miRNA from 1 species